UCUCCCCACUUAUCUCCUUCUCCAACCUCCUAAUCCAUCUAAUGGGAUCCCUCCCUGGCCACGGCCAGUGAUGUGCAUCGCCUCCACACAGGAGCGGCGAUCGAUUUGUUUGGUGGCGGACUUGAGGGAGACUCGAUGGGCGGCGAGCGAUUUGAUGCGGCGGAGGUUGGGGGACAGAGACCGGCCGGCGGGUGCCUCAGGGCUUCUUGUUCCUCGUCCACCCCCUUUCAGGUGUGGCGGCACGCUUGAGGCGGCGGCGGCGGCUCUAAUCCCGCGGUAGCCGUGGUCCCACUUCUCGGGCGGGAUUUGCGGCGCUGAGGCGGCCGGCGCGACGCGAGCUUGGGGUUGUGCUUGUGCCCGCCGAGGGGCGUGGCUACCGGCCACUCAAUCGGGCGCCGGAGGCAGCAUAAGGAGGAGGGGAUGUUGCGGUGCGCCGUGAUCUUAUCCCGGCUGCGUGGUUAGGUUUUGGGCGAGUAUGGAGGGGACGAGGGCGGCGGGGCCGGGGAUGUGCAGAUUAAGGUCGGAGGAAGCAUCUGCUACGAGGAACAUCUUCGUCUUCGACCUACAGGUGGAAUAUGCAGAGCAAGCAUGGGCGUGCAUCCGUGCCGCCUUGGGUAGCCACCCCAGAUUCGUCGUGCCCCUGCAUAUUGUGAUCUGAUCGCUCAAGCUGGGGAGAGCAUUUCAAAGGAAGCACGGACUGGAGGUGUAAGGUUAGAUGGCAAGCUAUUUUGCUCAUGCAGUUUGAUGAUAAAAUUCAUUAAGUCCACUUCCUUGUUUAUUUGUCUCAUGAUUAAUGGUUAUUUUUUUAACUUCCAAAUGUCGGCUAGAAAGUGAUAUACUAUGAUUAAACAUGUCAUAAUCCAUUGAUUUAUGGUCACGGUUACAUUUGAUAAUUUAUAAUCACAUAAAUGAACUUAAAAUGUUUCGGGCCUGGCAUGUUAGCAUUGCUUUACAUUAUAGUACAAUGAAUAUAUGAUGGAAACAACAUCGCAAGAUCACUCAGCACUAUAGGCCAGCACAGAAAACACACAUACACUUCUAGUUUACAUGACGAGUACUUUAUUUGUUUGCAUCAUCCAUGCAUGUUUAGCUUUCAAAAUAAAUUAUUAUGUUGUAACAAAACCUUAAUCUAAGCUGAUCAAAAGUAUGUGUAGAAUAGGGCUGCUUAGUGCAUUCCUAGUACAUGAUAUCAGAACUCUUGGAAAUUAUCAUUCUUGAGCUGGUUAUAUCUCUCCAUUCAUAACUCUUACUAUUUAAUUGCAUAAUGCUCAUACUGAAAAUAACAGUGCAGUCAGGCUAGGUGGUUUUCACCAAGUCAAUAAGCAGGUACAUAUAUGCUAGGUAUCCAAACGGUUGUAUAAUUGUAGUUGGUCUAAUUCUCUAUGAAAUUGUCCUUCUUUGCGUAAAGUGAAAUCUUCCCAGUUUUAUUAAUAGCAAAUGUUCUAUUUCUUGCAAAAGUGUGAUAAAACUGAAGUCUUGUUCUUUUCGAUCAAUUUGAGAAGCAAAAACAAACCCUUGGCCAAUGGAAUUUUAGGGAGUAAAUAUAGAACAUAUGUGGUUGAAGGAAACAUGCUUGGAGAACAAUAUGUUGCAGUCUCUGUCCGUAGCUAUAUCUAGGAGAUGAGAACUGGUUAGACCAUAUGAAAAACUCCAAACAGCAGGAGAUGCUGGUUAUGUUAUUGCUUGGCCUUCCUCACAUGUAAGUAUGUUUCCAUACAACCAUCAAGUAUGCUCCAAUAUCCACAUUUAAGAUAUUUUAGUUAUCGAAAUCUUUGUGGCUGUUUUUAGGUAAGAAAAAAACUAAGCCAACCACUCCAACGAAGCAUUUGUAUGAUACACUUAUAAUUUAUCAAAGAACAUCUUAUCUUGCACUUGUCUAAAAACAUUGUUCAUUUGCUUUCCCAGGGCGGUUCAGUAUUUGAAAAGAGAGUGCAUUAAGGGAGCCAGGAGUAAUUGGGUAGUUCAGGAUUUGAAAAGGGAGCCAGGAUUAGUCUGUGAAUGAAAAAGUAUUGUUCCUUAUGUUAUAUUUUAGCUUAAUUGAGAAACAUAGUUCUAGACUAUAGGAUAUUUUUUAUUUAUUUGUACUCCCUCCGUCCGGGAAAAGUUGUCACCGGCGCAGUUCAAUUGUAAUUUUGCCAAAAAGACCUUAUCAUUUUAAAUCUCAUGCUAAUCUGCCCUUCUUCCUCCCCCGACGCCCACGGGCACCGCGCACCCAGCCUCCGUCUCCCCUCGUCGCCGGCGGGCACCGCGUGCCCCAGCCACCGCAGGGAUCAGCCGACGAUGAAGUCGCACUUGCGCCGCCGCCCACCUGUCCCGCUGCUGCAAACUUGUGCCUCCCCUGCUUACCUGCGCACACAGAGGCAAGCUUCGUCGCCGCCCGCCUGCUCCUCUCCGGCGACAACUCGACGGGCGGCGUCUCCAUGGCUGAUGGGCGGCAUCUCCUCGUCGUCCUGCUCGCGUCCCCAGCAUCGCCGCCCACCUGCGCAGCUGCCACAAAGGUGACCCCCGCCGCCUACGUGCGCCGCUCGCAAGGCCUGGGUCGUCCGCUUCGGCCGCCGGCACGCUGCCUUCCGCCACUCCGUCCUCUUCUGCUGUUGCCAUCUUCCUCCACCUCUGCUGCUUCUGCUAGUGGUGGUGUAGCUCCCGAUCUUCGUCCAGGCGGCCCCAAUCUUCUUCUUUGUCCCCCGUUGUGCUGCUGUUGAAGGUACCAGCGCCCCCGCCCUGAAAUUCUUGUCAUAUGGACAAAUUGGUGUGAGAUUGUCUGGGUAGCAUCAUGGUAGCAUCAUUGUAGAUCAGAUUGAUGUGAACUUGUUGAGGAUUAGAGCACCGGCGGAUCAUCCAGUUGGAUCCUGAAUCAACACAUUCACGGCCUCCUCUUCAUCGCCCCCUUCUUGCCUGAAUUACGAGCAAGCUUUCUCUGGUUGCGUAGAAAACACUCACAAUUUCACCUGUAGCAAGCUUCGAUUGAUGAGUCAUCUGUGUACCUAGGCUCAACAUGCAUGUGUACCACAACCUAGGAAGAAUAGAACGGUGAACAAGUCAUUAUUAACAAUAAUAUCACAGCAGGGUCAGCAAAUUCAGAGAGACAAACUUAACAAGGGUAAUUUCCAUAUAAUUUUUGGAACAAUAUUCAUUUUUUAUUUGAACUUGCAAAAACAGGCAACUGUUGUUUUGAACUCUUAACUACAGUAAGAUCUUAGACCCACUCCUUACUAAAAUAUCCUCUCCCUCCUUGCUGCCAUUUUCCUUUUCUUGUGCAUCCAUUUAGUGUUCUACAGGUCAUGUUGGGCGGCACAUGCUGCAACAGAGGGCUGAAGACCAAACCUUGAAUUACAGAAUGUUUUAACAGAACUUUAGAUGUUCUACAGGUCAUGUACGACUCCCAGGUUCUAACAAAAAAGUUCAGACAACUCCCAGGAGUACAUGACCUGAAUUUAAAGGACCACAGAAAUCCCAGAAACAGUUAACUGUUACAGACAGUUUGAGUUUACUGUUUUUCAGGUCAUGGAUGUGGCUCAAACUAUAGAGAGAAAAUCAUUUUUGAGUUGAACGAAUACUGCCAUUAGUUGUCCCAAUUUGCUCCAUGUUCUAAUCACAGGAAUACUGGUGUUAGUUGUCCCAAUCAACAGCAGCACUCCACACUGUAUCAGUACUCCAUACAUACAUAUUGCAUUCAGUAAGCAAACUUGUGACUAAAUUCAAGCUGACCCAGUCACUACUUCGCAGAUUAGAACAAGCAGAAAAAAAGACAUGACAGUUUUAAUCAAGGACCAAGUCUUAGACCAUUGAGCGGAGUUUUUCAGCAUAGGGGGGAGAAACAGUCAUCUUCAGUGACCAGAGUUUUUUUUCUCAAUAGUCCAAUAAUCAUCUUCUUAGUUGAAAGCAUUUUAUUCACAUAGUUCAUCUUCUUAAGGGGCCCUUCUAAACAAAAUUUCCACAACAAGAACAAGGAGUAUAUGAUAGGAGUAAUUUGGCCACAACAAGAACAAGGUACUGUAAUUGCAUGAAAUUGCUAAAACUGCUAGAGCUCAAUGUACAAAUCAUGAAAUUGCUGGAGUAUAAAUCAUUGCUAGCAGUGA